GCGCCCGUAGCUCAGCUGGAUAGAGCAGCGGACUUCUAAUCCGCCGGUCGCAGGUUCGAAUCCUGCCGGGCGCG
rnacentral:tRNA from 3 species